GCCAGGCCUGGUGGUGCAUGCCUGUAAUCCCAGAGGCUGAGACAGGAGGAUCACGAGUUCAAAGCCAGCCUUAGCAACUUAGCGAGGCGCUAAGCAACUCAGUGAGAUCCUGUCUCUA
rnacentral:sRNA from 1 species